UACGUAGGGUGCAAGCGUUAAUCGGAAUUACUGGGCGUAAAGCGUGCGCAGGCGGUUUUGUAAGUCAGAUGUGAAAUCCCCCGGGCUUAACCUGGGAACUGCGUUUGAAACUACAAGGCUAGAGUGUGGCAGAGGGGGGGUGGAAUUCCACGUGUAGCAGUGAAAUGCGUAGAGAUGUGGAGGAACACCGAUGGCGAAGGCAGCCCCCCUGGGUUAACACUGACGCUCAGGCACGAAAGCGUGGGGAGCAAACAGG
rnacentral:rRNA from 1 species